CAGAAAUGACCUCGGACCUGGAAUUGCAAGUAAGAUGGUGCAGUCAUGGAAACCAUGAGAAGCCCCGGUACUUGGGAUUCAAAAGAGAGGAAAAUGGCAAACCUGUCCACUGUCUUUGCCAAGAAAAUCCUGUGGACAAUAUGGAAGACUUGGACACAGGACACAACUGAACAGAAAUAGUAAAGAUUAAGUCUUCACUUCUGUUAUGAGGGCUUGCUGAGCUUUUUUCAUCAGGUCUGCUCAUACAAUUGUCACCCAACUCUUACCUGUGGUUCCAAGAAGUUGUAACAAAUAUAACCGCCAUACCCCAGCAAAAUCAUCUUGGAAUAUGGACUGAAUAUGGCUGAGGUAACCAACCUGCCUCAAACCUAUUGGUGAGUUAAGGGUUGACUACCCCAAAACUGUAAAGACUCCCCCCAGUAGAUGAGAACAAUCUGUUCCAAAGGCCACAAAGAUGGCUGAAGCAGAUGUUGUGAGCACUUCACUUAAAGCUUGAUCAGGCAUUAAAGAUGUCAAGGAUAUCCACUGCUUUCUUUUGUAUUGCCAUAAUACUUUUAUGACGCUGGAAGGGAGAGAAAGGCUAAUGACUCUGUAUAACUGUGCUUCACUUAAAUCCAAUUCACACACAAGUCAAGACAUCAUCCAUGAUGUUAUUGGAUCUCUUCAAAAACAGAAGACAGUCUUCCAAGUCAUCCAGAAGCAUUAGCUCUUCAGUAUAACACAUGCAAUUUGACUUACCACAAAAUUAAUACAUAAUUGCUUUAAAGAUUGACAUUGUCUGGCAUUUUAAAUAAAUUCAUUUAUUAAAUGUAUUAACCAGAUUUUCAGCCCAGUCUGGGGCAUUUUGCACGUUAUAGUAUAUGUGGAAGAAGAUAUGACUCCAGAAGAUUGAAGAGAAAUUUGAAAAGUUGCAUAAGGGAUUUUACAAAGAUGGUAUCAAAGCUUCUUUGGGAGAAAGAUGAGGUGAGAAGCAGUAGACAUAUAGAGAAUCAUCUUUUUGUUUCUAACUUGCCUCCCUAGAGACUCCUGGAAUAGACUUCCUUAGCUAAGAUUGGGUUCUCUUGUUUUAAACGAGGUUUCAUAGCAGCUCCAGCUAAAGAAUUCAUUCACUCUUGUAUAUUUUCUGGGAUACACUAAUCUGUAAAACUUUUUCAAUUUCUCUUGGUUGCUUUGCUUGGAUAAGAGUUUACUUAAUAUUUAUUAUUGGCGAUGAGCUUGUGUGUAACCACCAUUUAGUGGGAAAGAACUAUUUCAAGGAAUACCUUUUCCAUUAAGAGUGAUCAGGAAUCUUCUUUCACAAUGUGACUUAUAUGGAAAUAUGUUUAACAUGAUUGUACACAUAAAAUCUUUUUUUAUUAAGACUUUUUAUUUUCAAAACAUAUGCAUGGAUAAUUUUCAACAUUCAUCCUUGUAUAACCUUGGCAUACAUAUAAUAUAAAAAAUGAAAUUUUAAAAAGA